UACGUAGGGUGCGAGCGUUGUCCGGAAUUAUUGGGCGUAAAGGGCUCGUAGGCGGUUUGUCGCGUCGGGAGUGAAAACACCGGGCUUAACUCGGUGCUUGCUUUCGAUACGGGCAGACUAGAGGCAUGCAGGGGAGAACGGAAUUCCUGGUGUAGCGGUGAAAUGCGCAGAUACCAGGAGGAACACCGGUGGCGAAGGCGGUUCUCUGGGCAUGUCCUGACGCUGAGGAGCGAAAGCGUGGGGAGCGAACAGG
rnacentral:rRNA from 1 species